AUUAACGCUGGCAGAAUGCAUAACACAUGCAAGUCGAGCGGAUUUAGACCCGCAAGGGUUUGAGUUAGCGGCAGACGAGUGAGCAACACGUAAGAAACCUGCCCUCGAAAGGCGAAUAACGCGCCGCAAGGCGUGCUAAUACGUCGUACUAUCCUUUGGCGGCAUCGCCGACGGAUGAGAGGCCCGCACGGGUCGUUCGAGGCGGGUCUUGCGUCCCAUCAGCUAGUUGGCGGUGUAACGGACCACCAAGGCUAUGACGGGUACCCGGCCGGAAAGGGCGGACGGGCACGAAGGCACUGAGACACGGGCCGUACUCCUACGGGAGGCAGCAGUGGGGAAGUUUGGACAAUGGGCGAAAGCCUGAUCCAGCAAGGCUGCGUGAGGGACGAAAUA
rnacentral:rRNA from 1 species